rnacentral:rRNA from 1 species
GAUGAACGCUAGCGGCAGGCUUAAUACAUGCAAGUCGUGGGGCAGCAUGAGUAGCAAUACUUGAUGGCGACCGGCAAACGGGUGAGGAACACGUACACAACCUUCCUUCAAGCGGGAAUAGCCCAGAGAAAUUUGGAUUAAUACCCCAUAAUAUAUUUGAUAAGGCAUCUUAUUAAUAUUAAAGCUUCGGCACUUGAUGAUGGGUGUGCGGCUGAUUAGAUAGUUGGCGGGGUAACGGCCCACCAAGUCUACGAUCAGUAGCUGAUGUGAGAGCAUGAUCAGCCACACGGGCACUGAGACACGGGCCCGACUCCUACGGGAGGCAGCAGUAAGGAAUAUUGGACAAUGGACGAAAGUCUGAUCCAGCCAUGCCGCGUGAAGGA